rnacentral:RNase_P_RNA from 2 species
GAAUUUAGGUAAUCGCUGCAACGUAAAGUUGUAGAGGAAAGUCCAUGCUCACACGGUUCUGAGAUGUCCGUAGUGUUCGUGCCCGGCGAAAAAAUAAGCCGGGGCACCGUGCAUUGCACGGUGACGGCGGGGAUAAAUCCUACGUCCUUCGGGAUAUGGAUGAGGUUCCCUGAAAAGUGCCACAGUGACGUAGCCGGUCCGGAAACGGUCCGGGUGGAACGCGGUAAACCCCACGAGUGAGAAACCCAAAUUAUGGUAGGGGCACUCUUCGGAAGGAAAUGAACGGAAGAAGGGACAGACAACAGUCUGUAGAUAGAUGAUUACCACCCUAAGUACGAGGCGGAAGCCGUUUGAGUACACGGGAACAAAACAUGGCUUAUCAAA